AGUAGUGGGCGCCGAGGUGGUGAGGAUGAGGAUCCCCGCGAUGGCGGAUUUGAGGAUCUCCUGGUCAAGCUAAUGGGCCAUCUGCAUGUGGUCCGGUCAAGCAAUCCUCUGCCCCUACAGUCGUCACCACCGCCGAUAGCAGUCGUCGCGCCGGCGCCGUCAUGGUGUUUCUCUCCGUCGGAGCGUCCUUGCGUCAGGUGGCCGCCGCCGCUACCUCCGGAUACCGUGUCUAGCCAGUCGGUCGCGUCGGUGGCCGCCGCCGCUACCACCGGAAAUCGCGGCAACUGCAUCUAGCCAGUCGUUCGCCGUUCAUCCCGCCCUUUGCCCGCGCCUCAACCGCAAAUUCGCCAAGCAUCCGCCGCCGUCCAGGACGAAAUAGAGAGGAUAGGCGGCAGCACUGCUGGUGCUGGCGACACAGGCGACACCAACACGGCAGAAGGCGAGGUGGAUGUGAAGGGAGGAGGAACCUACCGUUUAAGAUGGCCACAGGCGCAGUGCUUGGCGCUAGCAAGGAUCCCGAGUUCUCGACCUUCGCUGCCGUGUCCUUGCAUCCACUGCAAAACCAGCAACGGCGUUAUCCGCCAGCCGGCGCGUCUCUGCCUCUGCUGCCAAAUUUGGGGGGCGCAAGGAGCAGGGAAGAUCCGGGGCGACCACCACGGUGGGGCGCUACGUCCAUGAAUGCAGGACGAGCAGCAUCAGCAGACCUUGGAGACGACAAAGGCAAAGGUCUCUCCCAUCUCAUAUGGGCCGCCAACCAAUGUCCUCUCUCUGUGCCAUCCCCAAUUUUUUGGAAAGUCUGAUGAUGUUUGAUGCACCAGAGGAAGAUUAGGAGAGAUAAUUUAUAAUUUGCCACAAUUACUUAGUAAAAGCCCAAGUAUAGGACCGUUAAUUUGAAGCAGAGUCAGCAGACGUAACCGUCAGCUAGGCGGCGGAGUGGACCACUAUAUUGCUGCCACUGCUACACAGGCAGAAAAGGUAAGUUUUUAGCCCUAUCGGUUCGAGCUGAAUGAAGGGAUGGAGGUCUGGUCUGCAACGCCACAAACGGCACCACAAAAGGGACACCAGAAGAGCAGUCAUGGAUACAACCUUGGUGAAGGAUCUGUCACCUCGAGGGUUUCAAUGGAAGACCAUUGUGUGUGUCGCUCGAAUCUGGGAACAUAGGGAUCAAGCAACCUGGCAAAAUUUGUUUGAGGUGGACUUCAUUGUCAUUGACCAAGAGGCAUGGUGCACCUGCUGUCCUUAUAUUUCGAGUGAAUGGCUUUGUGCAGUAUAGUAAAGGGAUGUUAAACUUUCUUCUGUUGUACGAUCAUUUAGUAUCGAAAUUAAAUUUUCCUAGACAAUUAUACAUUCAAAAAUUGAAUGAUGUUUCAGGGCAACAAAAUGGAAGGCUGCAUCCCAGCCAAUCGAAUUGACCAGUUCAGAGAUAAAAUAAAGUAAGGUUCGAUACUAUUUUUCCCUUGGAUUCAUUCCAUGUUUGCUAUCCCACAGUACUGCCAAACACACAAGAAAGUUUGUCGCGUCUGUCCUGGUGGUGUUGAUCUCUUUCAGUUCUUCAUUGUUGUGCGCCGUGUCAAAUUGGAAAACCUGGUUAGUUUAUUUCUUGUGCAUCAGUGAACUAACUUGUCUUUUACUUCUUGACUCUUGAGGCUGCAGUUAAUAUGAAUUGAUUUAUUUUCGUCUCAAACCAUGCAUAGAUAUUUUUAUUGAGCGUCCUUAAUUCAUCAAUAAUCACUUGUAGUACGUGUCAUGGAGAGAUCUUCAAACAACCACAAUUUUGUAUCAUAAUCCAUUCCACUUUAUUAAUACAAGAAAGAAUUUUCUUUUCUGCUUCUGAAUAUUUUGUGUUUGAAUUGAUUCAGAGAAGGAAUCCAUAUGUUUGGUGAUUUCCCUACAAUUUUUAUUUCCGUCUUUAAUUUGCCAAUACUGUUGUACUAUUCAGCAAGAAAUUUAACACUGUAUUCGAAUCCAAGAUUAAAGUCUACAACAAAAUAUAUCGCUGGUGUGUUACUUUAGGAAAAAUCAACGCACCAGCUAUAUAUUUUGCUGUAGAUUUAAAUUUCCUUCUGGAUCCAAAUGUUCUAUACGUUUUAGUAUUAAUAGAUAAAAUAUGUCAGUUUUGUUGGAAUCUUCCACGAUUUUUAGCCAUGGCCGGUUGUUGAGCUUGAGUGGUUGACAGAUGCAUAUGUUAGUUGCUUGAUUCACCCAUUUAGUGAUUAGUUCUCUGCUAUCACAGAAAAGCACAAAUGCAUGGCAAGCUCCCAAUCAUGUAUAUAUCUGAAAUGGUCUAUUAGGGUCAAGAUUUAGAUGUAGCAGUACCUUGGUAGGUACAUUGUAUUCCUCCUUUAUUUUUGGUGAUUCUGCAUUUGAGAAUAUGUUCAUGCUUUCUGAAUCGAAUUAGAUCUGGAUUAUUCACUUGGUCUUAUUUGAUAUCGAAGUGAAGAGAGCUGGUACCAGCUUAUGAAUCUUUAAUAUUAUGUCGGUUCAUACAUCUUAGGCCUGCCAUAGUUUGAAGUUCUUUCAUUUCCUGUUUCAGUGAGAUAGCAUCUCAUUCAUGUUGUAACAACUACGUACAUAUCAAACAUUAGUUGUUAUAAGAGGAAUUUCUUUUUAAUGCUUUAUCUUGAAAGGGUAACCAUAUACAUUCAACUGCAUAUGUGUUGUUCUUUCCAAAUAAGAUACACUUUAGAGUUCCCCCGAGUAGUAGGAUGCCUGAGUAGUUUGUCAAGUGAUCUUUUCAUGUCAAGACAUGUGUUAUUCUAGAGAUAAUGCAUAUAUAUGCUCAAGAUAGGCCUUUUCAUAGUUAAGGAUGCACGGGAUUGUAUCUUGCACUUAAAUUCAGUCUAGACAAUUGAUGAAGCAUGUUUAAUUUGCAUGUGGUGUCGGAAACUAACGUGUGUUGAAUUUUUUUAUUCUAAACAUUAACAUGAGAUGGGAAUGUAUCUUCAAUAGUUUUUCCUGUUAAGAUCUAGGUGACAGAUCAUCUGUAGGAGACACGACAUCUCUUUGUAUCAUUCAUUUCAGCUCUACAUGCAAUAGGAUAUUGCUGUGGGUAAUGAAGUUUUUCCCUCCUUAGGACAUGGUUUUUAGAAUAGUGUAGUUUCAAAGUAUGUAUUAUUGUUACUAAAUUUAACAUGUAUAAAUUAAUUUUGAUUUGCUAAAUAUCUUCAUAAAUAAUCAUUGAGAGCAAUCUCAGUGUUAGACCUAUAUUUAUUUUCCGGUUACAAAGGAUUUAGUCGGAUCAGCUCUAGCUCUGCCACGAUCAGUUCGAAUAAAUCAUGAAAGAUCCUUGCUUUUACCUUUUCCAUGCAUUUUGAUUACGGAUUAUGUAACUACUAUACUAAAUAUUAGGUUAGCUGUACACAUGUUAGGUUCUUGGUUUUAGUUGCCCCCUGCUGCACUGGCAUGUUUUGGCUUCAUAUUUUUGUAGCUUUCUACAGAUCGUUGAUACAUGCUAUCAAAACAUUGCUUUGCUCUACCCAGUCUCUUAUCUUUUUUUUUUUUUUUGAGAGUAGAUGUAGGUGUCACAUGCUAUAUUCAUGUACUGCAGUAUUCUUACCAAAAAACUUAUUUGGCUUUUUUGGCUAAACUGAAAUUGAUCUAGGGUGAAAAGAGAAAGUUCAAACAAGGAUUAUGCACCUCCUGUUGACCUGUGAUGCCCAUUAUCUACAUGCAAGAGCAGAACUAGAGAUACAAUCAUGCUACAGUUAUAUUUCUGCAUGGCACCGGACACUGAGCUGAAGAACUCUACACGCUCGAUGACGUGCUCUUAGCAAUAAAUUUAUUGGAUCAGCUAUAUGCUAUGCUUCCAUUGGAUUCUGAUUUGAUGCACACAUCAAAAUCAUGUGGAUUAAACACCAAACAUGCUUAAAAGGAGGCACUAUAACAUUGGGAAUAAUUUUUCAUGCCCAUUGUGCAAUUCUGGUGAAGAGGAAACGCUGGAACACCUAUUCUUCGUUGCUCCUUUGCUACUUAGUUUUGGAACAUAUUGCAUUGCAUAUAAACUGGAAUCUUCAGCCCAACUGAUUUGAGGCUAUUGCUGAAGCGAAGUAUUCUAUUCAAGGAGAGCUUUCGUUCAAUUUUUUUAUAAAUUUAGCCUGGGGUAUCAAGAAAGGAAGGAAUAAUUAUAUCUUCAAGGGUGUAAGGCCCAGGGCUGGUUGGAGAGCUAGUGGUAGCUGAUAUGCACCUUCUUAGAUACAAAGACCCUCAAAAGACUUCACUUUUUUUAUAUUACCUGUUGUAGAUAGCAUCUGAACUUUGUAAUCCUGGGAUUCUAGAGGGUGUUACACCCAACGAUGUAAAUAUUUUUAUAUAUUAAUAUGUAAUAUACCAUAGUAGGAGCCUCUCCUACUGUUUCACUGCCAAAGAAGAAUAUACUCUGCCUUUUCUACUAUUUUUCUACACCAUCAGUUUUAACAUCCUCUUUUAUUUAGUCUGACCAUCUUGCACCAUGGAAGGAUUCGAGUUAGCAC